rnacentral:rRNA from 1 species
UACAGAGGUCUCAAGCGUUGUUCGGAUUCAUUGGGCGUAAAGGGUGCGUAGGCGGCGCGGUAAGUCGGGUGUGAAAUCUUGGAGCUUAACUCCGAAACUGCAUUCGAUACUGCCGUGCUUGAGGACUGGAGAGGAGACUGGAAUUUACGGUGUAGCGGUGAAAUGCGUGGAUAUCGUAAGGAAGACCAGUGGCGAAGGCGGCCUUCUGGACAGUGACUGACGCUGAGACGCGAAAGCGUGGGGAGCAAACAGG